rnacentral:rRNA from 1 species
GAUGAACGCUGGCGGCGUGCCUAAUACCUUCCAGUCGAGCGAAGCGGGGACGGGUGAGUAACACGUUGAUAACCUCCUAUAACACGGGGUUAACUUCGGGAAACCGGAGCUCAACCGGAUACUUAUAGAUGGAUCCGCGAGGCAUUAGCUAGUUGGUUAGGUAACGGCGUACCAAGGCAACGAUGCAUAGCCGACCUGAGAGGGUGAUCGGCCACACUGUGACUGAGACACGGUCCAGACUCCUACGGGAGUCAGUGGUAGGGAAGCCUCCGCAAUUGGCGAAAUCCUGACGGAGCAACGCCGCGUGAGGGAUGAAGUUUUUCGGCCCGCAAAACACUGUUAUUAGGGAAGCGGUACCGAAUCAGAAUGCCACGGCGAACUACUGGUCAGCAGCCGCGGUAAUUC